UUCCCACCUUGAAAACUGACACUUCGCCGGCGCUGGCAGGUGUUAUCUGCUCCUUACCAGAAUGCAGAUAAUUGAGGAGUUACACGUUGCUAUCAGCACAAUUGAAAGUUUGAGAGAAUUGUUGCCUCUCCCUCUCCCUUUCUACUUUACUCUCCUUAUUUUCACGAUCCUUGCUUGCUUUUUUGGACUUUAUGUAACAAUGGUAAAGUUUUCUGGUUUUGUUUGGGCGAUUAGGUGUUUGAGAUUUUGAAUUAGUUGCUCAGAAAAUAGUGGUUGAUAAUAAUGCUUUAAAUCAUGUUCGCAUGAGUUGUUCUUUAUCAUUCUUAAGUACGUAGUUAGAAAUGUUGGAUUUUUUUUAGUCUUACUGAUAUGGGCUAAAUUCGUACUUUUAGGUGCUACUGUGGAACCAUUUGGGUCUUUUGUGUCUCAGCUAUUUUCUUGCUGGGGAGAUCUAGAUUUAAGCUAUCCAAUGGAUUAUACAUUGCAGUUGCUGCCUGGCUGCACAAGCAGGCUUUAUUAGUGGAUGUACUUAAAGCAUUAUGGAGGGCAGGUUAUUUCUAUAAAUCAUACUUGAUCAUCUUCAUGGGGCUGGAAAUGUUUUUCUGACCACCCAAAGAGCUUUUAUUUGCGUUUUUGAAGUCUUGCAGCUUCUUAAGUUCUUCUAAGAUCACUGACAUGUAUGUCUUGAUCAGACUUUGAUGUACACCAACUCUUGAUUUAUCAAGUGCACGCCGUCACUACAACAGUUCGUUGUGAAUCCAGAAUAAAGGUAGAGAAAUGCCGACUUUACUAUCUUUGCCUCCGAGGUUGGACAAAUUCAUUCCCAAUAGAUCAGCUAUGGAUUUUGAUUACGCCCACUACACGCUGCAUUUCUCUUCUUUGCUGCUGCUUCUGUGCUAUUGUUCUGCUUUUUGCGCUGCUACUUAAAAAGCUGUUGUUCUGCUACUUCAUUUUUUUCUGCUCAACUCUUGCCAUAAGUGUAUAAGCUUCAAUGUUUUAAAUCAAAUUGUAAUAUUACAGCUUGUAUGAAUGAAAAUUAUAAGCUUAUACA